rnacentral:rRNA from 1 species
AUUGAACGCUGGCGGCAUGCCUUGCACAUGCAAGUCGAACGGCAGCACGGGUGCUUGCACCUGGUGGCGAGUGGCGAACGGGUGAGUAAUACAUCGGAACAUGUCCUGUAGUGGGGGAUAGCCCGGCGAAAGCCGGAUUAAUACCGCAUACGAUCUACGGAUGAAAGCGGGGGACCUUCGGGCCUCGCGCUAUAGGGUUGGCCGAUGGCUGAUUAGCUAGUUGGUGGGGUAAAGGCCUACCAAGGCGACGAUCAGUAGCUGGUCUGAGAGGACGACCAGCCACACGGGGACUGAGACACGGCCCAGACUCCUACGGGAGGCAGCAGUGGGGAAUGUUGGACAAUGGGCGAAAGCCUGAUCCAGCAAGGCCGCGUGUGUGAAGAAGGCCUUCGGGUUGUAAAGCACUUUUGUCCGGAAAGAAAUCCUUGGCCCUAAUACGGUCGGGGGAUGACGGUACCGGAAGAAUAAGCACCGGCUAACUACGUG